rnacentral:rRNA from 1 species
GGUUUAAUUCGAUGCAACGCGAAGUAACCUUACCAGGUCUUGACAUCCCGAUGCUAUUUCUAGGAGUAUAGAAAGUUACUUCGGUACAUCGGUGACAGGUGGUGCAUGGUUGUCGUCAGCUCGUGUCGUGAGAUGUUGGGUUAAGUCCCGCAACGAGCGCAACCCCUAUUGUUAGUUGCCAUCAUUCAGUUGGGCACUCUAGCGAGACUGCCGGUAAUAACCGGAGGAAGUGGGAUGACGUCAAAUCAUCAUGCCCCUUAUGACCUGGGCUACACACGUGCUACAAUGGUUGGUACAACGAGUUGCGAGUCGGUGACGGCGAGCUAAUCUCUUAAAGCCAAUCUCAGUUCGGAUUGUAGGCUGCAACUCGCCUACAUGAAGUCGGAAUCGCUAGUAAUCGCGGAUCAGCACGCCGCGGUGAAUACGUUCCCGGGCCUU